rnacentral:tmRNA from 1 species
GGGGCUGACUGGAAUCGACAGGAAAUGUAGUCGGUCAAUAAGCAUGCCGCAGCACGGUAGCUCACUGCGUUAUCAAAUGGUUAUCGAUCCAUAAAUGGCAAUACUUCUUUUGCCGUUGCUGCUUAAUUCUAGGAAUUAAUUAGCAUCUGCACACGGGACUGACGUCCGAUAAAUCCCUCCUGUGCAUCAAACCCAUCGGGCUGGGCCGGUAUUUUUUCCGCAUACUGGUCGAGACAAACAGGAAAUAAGGAUGUUCAAGGUCGUCUCCUAACCUCUGGUCAUCCUGACAAUCCAACUGGAGACUAAGCAUGUAGAAAGUUGUCAGGUUCUUUCUCUGGACCGGGGUUCGAAUCCCCGCAGCUCCACUU